UGUGAUCGCUCUUGGCUUCGUUAGGAUCAGUCAUGGGAUUGGCAAAAAUUCAUGAAACUGGCAGUCAGAUCUAUCUGCUUGUUUAGAUGUUUCUCUUCUGUGUAGACUGGAAUUAUGUAAGAAGUAACUUGAUCUGAUUAGUAGAACUUGAAGGUAGGAAUGAGAUUUCCCUUGCAGGCUGGACGUGCAAGCAUGGAGAUUUAACUCUUGUAGAGAUGGGGGUCAGGUGUAUUCGUUACAUCUACUGUGGGAAAGAAAGCCUGCGGAUGUUGGGAUUUUUUAAAAAAAGUGAUCUUUAACAAAAUUGCUACUACCAAAUUAGGAUAACGUUAUCUUCAAGGGCUUGAGCGUAAGAAUUUUAGGCUGUAGGCUAUAGGAUCUCUGCAGCAACUAUUUAACUCUGCUAUUGUAGUGUAACUAUAGCAUAGAUAGUAAGGAAAGGAAUGAGUGUGGCUAUGUUCCAAUAAAAUUUUAUUUAUGGACCCUGGAAGUUGAAUUUCAUGUAAUUUCCACAUUUUGCCAAAAAAUUCUUUUGAUUUUUGUCAACAAUUUAAAGAUGUAAAAACCUUAGUUUGCAGCCUAUGAGAUGGCAUAGCAGAGCUGGCAGGUCGUCCGCAGUUUGCAGACCCCUGCAACAUAUGGAGGUUCCCAGGCUAGGGGUCUAGUUGGAGCUACAGCUGCCAGCCUAUGCCACAGCCACAGCAACUCGAGACCUGAGCCGCAUCUGUGACCUACACCACAGCUCAUGGCAACGCCAGAUCCUUAACCCACUGAGUGAGGCCAGGGAUCGAACCUGCAACCUCAUGGUUACUAGUCAGGGAACUCCCUGGAUCUCUUUUCUAAGCUUCAGUUUCCUCACAUGGAAAAUGGAGAUAGUAAAGUCUCCCAUUCAUACUUAAUAUGAAUAUAAAACAGAUAAUGUAAGCAAAAUGCCUGGUACUCUCUCUGCUUUCCCUUAACAAAUGAUAGCAAGAUAAUAAAAGCUAUUGUUAACUGCAUGUACUGAAUUUCAAGAGUCACUCCCAUUUGCCAUAUGAACAUACCAUGGUGCAUUUCUUUAAAAGUAGCAUGCGAUCAGAUUUUCUUGGGAUUGGUCAACUUUAGUUUUAUUCUACGAGGAUUCUCCUCAUCCAAAGGCGUUUCUGUGGUCUUGGGCUGGAGUCUGCAGCUGCAGACUUAAUACCUACCAACCCCAAUCUAUGCAUCCUUUCCCACAUGAACAGAUAAAUAAACAUUCAAAGCAUGUUUUUCCUGAACCUUCUUACAUUGCUCUAGGGAGAAGCUUGUCAGGUUCAAAUUGCCAUUUAAACCUGGGAGUUGCUGUGUUCCUGGUUUGCCUUUCUCAUCAGACUUGGCAAGACAAGCAGCUUUGGUUUCACUUUAGGCCUUAUGUUUGUGACAGAGCAAGAGGUAACCAUGAGAAUAUUGUUUGCCUGGCUUUAGCUAGAUGAUACAAACGAGCACUUGGAAGAAACUUUGUUCAGAAGAAGUCUUCACAUCUAAUUCUUCAAGGUACAAGCAUUUCUCCAACGCCAUAAUUUGUGAAAAUAGCUUCCCAAGAGAGUUCCAGCCUCCAGUCUAUAUUUGACUAAACCCAGACACUUAAUUAGACUUUCCAAUUGAAAGAAAUACCUCUGUUUCUUCAUCUCUUUCUGACAGCACCAAAUCAAAUUUUGAAGAACAAUAUGAUCUGCGGGGCUGGGAUUACCAUAAGACAAGGACACUUGCCUUGGGUGCAAAAUUUAAAGGGCACCAGAAAACCAAGUAAUCAAGAUAAAGGAUAUUUUAAUGCAAUAUUUAAAAAAAAGUCAAAAUCCAUUUGAACAGAAUCCAAUUGAAGGAAAUUUCAAAAUUUUAAAUAAAGGCAGUUUCAGUAACUGCCUGGCCAAAGAGUAUGUGAGCUUAAGGCAAAGAGAAAAAUCAGAAAAUCAGUAAUAUUGAUGCAAUAAAUCUUAUUUAGACUCCUUCAUAAUUAUUUCUCCCUUAGAGCCUGAGCCUCAAGUGAUUACUGUAAUUAAAAACACUGACUUAUAAACUGGGUUGCUUCUGUUGCACUGUUUUAUCCUCUCAUUGCCUACUCUUCUCUACCUUCUCUUUUUUGACUAUUCUUUUCCCUCCUUUUCAUCUUGUUAUCACGCACUCACAUUUCUUUUUGCUACUUUCUUUCUGCACGUGAGCUUUGACCUAUUUACUCUUCCUCUGUGUUUGCAAGGAAGACGAUCAAAGAGCUCUUUCAUUUAUAAUAACUGAAUGGUUUCCUAUCAGUCAAUACUAACUCUGAGGCCCCAAGGCAUUUCGUCCACCGUGGUUUAUGUCCUCUUGGCUGGAAGCUGCUACGGUGACCUCUUUAACAGUUCUCAUGGUUCCCUGGAGCAUGGAAGUCUCCAGUCUGGGAAACACUGAGCUACGUGAACGCUGAUAAACCACAAUGCGGUCUAAGGAUGUCCCUUUAUUCUAUCCGUGGCAAUCUCAGGGUACGUGUGCAUGAAUGCAAGGGGCCACUCCUCUGUGACUCCUGACAGUUACCAGCACAUUCUUUUCGAGAGGAUGGUUUGAGAACGAAAUGUUUGAAGUAAGCACCACAGGGAUGUGUCAAUCUAUUAAUGGGGCAGCAUCUGGCAUUUAUAAUCUGAACAAAAGCUCCCUUCCUCUUUCUUAAUCUUUAUCCCAGAUGAGAGCAUGGCUCACGACCAAGAAAGUUUUCAGUUUUUCUUCCCAGGGAAGCUAAGCCAGAAGCACAGAAUGCCACAGGGAAGUGACCAUGGGAAUAGGGGUCAGAGCUGUCAUAUAUUCCAUGCAGUAGCUAGAGCACUGUGGGGACACAGACGCUGAUGAACCAUUUUAAAUGUGAGCAAUUACAUGACCACUGAUUAAAUCCAGCCCUGCAAGUCUAUAGCAGAUAAUCAGACAGAAUCAUGAUUUGGGGGUAUUUUUGCCCCCGUGUUUAAAAAUGUAUUUAGCUCCUCUGUAGCCCAAGAGUAUAAAGUGAUCGUUCCAUUAGUCCAGAAGUUUAAGCUCUAAAAGAGUAAAAUAAACAUGUCACAUAUUUAUUCACAUACUGUCCAAACACACACCAAACGCUCCUUGUGGUUGGUUUGAAGUUUUGAUUCUGGUUUUCUGUGUUUAUUUUUCUUUUUCAGAAACAAUGUGAAUAUCCUGUGCUGGGAUAGGGUGGGAGCUGGGGGAGGCAGCUCUCUCCAGAUGAUGGGUGAAAUCGAAUUUAGUUCCUCCAGGAUUGGAAAGGUUCCUGCAUUAAGUACACUUAGAGUUGAGCUUGAACCAGGCCCCCAGAAGGGAGUUCUCUAAGAAGAUCAGGGAAGCCUUUUCAGCCAGAUGAGAACUAGUGGCUUUCUGAGGCAAAUCCAGGGGAAGCAGAGCAGCAUUCUCCAAUUGAGCUUGCAUCAGAAUCACCUGGAGGGGGUGUUGAACCAAGCAUCACUGGGCCCCACCCUCGGAGUUUCUGAUGCAGCGCUUUCAGGUGAGGCCUGAGCACUUGCAGUUGUAAAGAGUUCCCAGGUGAUGCCAUGGCUGCUGGCCCAGGACCACACUUUGAGAACAACUAGUAUGGAGUGAAAGCUGUAGAUUCCUUUGGGAAUCUGAAGGGAGCUCUUAAGAUUCCCCUUGGAAAAGUGCACAGACAAAAAUGGGGAAUUUUAGGUCCGGUUUCAGGGUUCCAGGGAUCCAGAUCAAGGAUGUCCAUUUGGUACCACUCUGGGGUAGCCUACACUAUCUUCAAUUCCAUGAUUCUUCAAUUAGGGGCUUCAUUCAUUCCCUCCACUGAACCCCGUAGGAUUUUGCUGAUUUUUGCUGGACUUAAUUAGGGCCCCCGGAUUUGACUAACAUUCUUGAAGUUAGAAAAGUUUUUGGAGGAAAAAAACCAUUUAAAAAACCCAACUAUUUAAAACUCUUUCAUUUUUUUUUUUUUUUUUUUUUUGGUCAAACCCACAACAUGUGGAAAUUACUGGGCCGGGAAUUGACCUGUGCCAUAGCAAUGACCUGACCCACAGCAGUGGCAAUGCUGGAUCCUUGCCCACUAGGGAACUCCAUCAUUUUUAAAUAAAUCAAAACUAUAAUCUUCCUUUAAAAAAAGCUGACUUUGAAAGGAUGAAGAAAAACUGCAGUAUUCAUGAGAAAUGUUGAGUACAUACAUUUUAAGUGUUGAGUGCAAGUUUCAAGCAAUUAUUGAUGGGAGGAGAUUACCAGCAAGUAAGUAAAUAAAGAAAAGCUAAUUCUCUCCAAAUUUUGUCAAUGACAGGCCAUGAUAUAAGGAGAGACAGCACAGCAAACUGCAGAAAGAUACUUUUCAGUUAGAAGACGUAAUCUUGGAUCCAAGCAUGGACGCAUCUACCAGCCCAGUAAUCCUGCAAAAGCUAUUCUCUUCUGGAGCCCAGCAUCCCUUUUCUGUAAAAUGAGUAAGUUUUCUAUCUCACAUGUCUUUGUGAAGAUAAGAUAUACCUGUUAACUUGCCUAGUAUAGAGGAGUCACUCCAAAAAUAUCCUAUGGGGUGUAACUUUGCACAUGCUCAAUAUUACCCCCUUUGAUCCUUACAGGUGGCUCUUUGCCCAUCCUUGGAUGGUUCUUCUCACUUGUAUUCACUCAUCAGAAUUCUGAUUCUCAAAGGGGAUUCUGCAGUUCUCUCUCCAUGCAGCUGUCCUUUCUCUGGCUUUCCGUCCUGUGAACUCUGGCCACAUUGGUCUAGCAGGACUUUCUUACAUCUCGGUGCGAGGAGUCUUCUGGGCUCUGCUUGAGAUCCCCCUCUGCUCCUCCAGCUAGAAACUCCUUCAAAGCUGUAAGCUGGGCUGGUUAUAGGGCUCCCCUCUCAGGGAUCACUUUCCUUGAAUGCCCGAUGUUUGGUGUUUCAUAUUUUGUCCAUUUUUUGGUGCAUUUUUUUCAGGUAGGGGAGUAGGUCUUGUCUCUGUUACUCCAUCUUGACUGGAAGUGAAGAUACACAUUAUUUUUUUAAACUUGUUUUUUCUUUUGAAAUCUAUUAGAAACACACAAAAAGCAUUUAUAUAUAUAUAUACAUAUAUAUAUAUGCAUGUACAUCUUUAAUAAUAAAACCAACACCUAUUCACACAUCAACCAAGUUAAAAAUUAGAGCAUUGAGAGUGUAUUAGAAUUUUCUCUGUGCCUCUCCCCAAUUCCAUCCCCUUCCUUUCUCCCCAGAGAAAACAAUUUCUCUGAAUUUAUGUCUAUUAUUCACUUUAAAAAAAAUAUCUUUGGCCACCCACGGGUACACGCUUAAAUAAUAUUUUUUAGUCUUGCCUGUUUUUGUAUUUUCUAUAAAUGAAAUCAGUGUAUGUAUACUCUUAUGACUUCUUUUAUUUUACAUUAUAUUUUUGAUAUUCACUCACGUAGAUACAGUUUCUUCAUUUUCCUUGGUUGUAUCCACAUUUUAUUUACCAUUCUGCAGUUUAUAGACUUUUGGUUUGGUUUAAGUUUGGAGCUAUGUGAACAAUCUGCUUUGAUUAUUCUUACACUUGUCAGCAAGUGUUCACAUACGUGAAUUGAUCGAGGGUGAGUACGUUGGAGUGAUAUUACUGAAACUGAAGUGUGUAUACAAGUUUACAAGUGAUGAAACACUGUUUUUCAAAGCAGUUUCCCUAAUGACAGCCCCAGCAAAGUGCCUAAGAAUUCUCACUGAUUUACUUCUACACUUUGAAUUCCCAUACUUUUUAAAAUUUUGCAAAACUGGUGAGUGUGUAAUGAUUUCUUAUUAUGGUUUUCAUUUGCCUUUCUCUAAUUACUAAUGAAGUUGACACUUGAAUUUCUUCUUUAGUGAUAUCUAUUAUCUAUCAAUCUAUCUAUAUAUCUAUGCCCAGUUUUAUCAUGUUUUUUUUUUUUUCUUUAUCAAUUCAAUGGUCUCCUUUAUAUAUUAUGAAUGCUACUCUUUUGUGCUUAUAUGUGUUGCAAAUACCUUUUCACAUUUUGUGGUUUGCUUUUUCACUCUUUUUCAUGAUAGCUUUUGAAGAAUUCUUAGGGAGUUCCCAUCGUGGCUCAGUGGAAACGAAUCCGACUAGGAACCGUGAGGUUGCACAUUCGAUCCCUGGCCUUGCUCAGUGGGUUAAGGAUCCAGUGUUGCUGUGAGCUGUGGUGUAGGUUGCAGACGAGGCUCAGAUCUGGCAUUGCUGUGGCUCUGGCAAAGGUCGGCAGCUAUAGCUCUGAUUAGACCCCUAGCUUGGGAACCUCCACAUGCCUCAGGUGCGGCCCUAAAAAGAC
rnacentral:lncRNA from 1 species